GAUGAACGCUGGCGGUGUGCCUAAUACAUGCCAGUCGAGCGAACAGACGAGGAGCUUACUCCUCUGACGUUAGCGGCGGACGGGUGAGUAACACGUGGAUAACCUACCUAUAAGACUGGGAUAACUUCGGGAAACCGGAGCUAAUACCGGAUAACAUGUUGAACCGCAUGGUUCAACAGUGAAAGACGGUCUUGCUGUCACUUAUAGAUGGAUCCGCGUCGCAUUAGCUAGUUGGUAAGGUAACGGCUUACCAGGGCAACGAUGCGUAGCCGACCUGAGAGGGUGAUCGGCCACACUGGAACUGAGACACGGUCCAGACUCCUACGGGAGGCAGCAGUAGGGAAUCUUCCGCAAUGGGCGAAAGCCUGACGGAGCAACGCCGCGUGAGUGAAGAAGGUCUUCGGAUCGUAAAACUCUGUUAUUAGGGAAGAACAAAUGUGUAAGUAACUAUGCACGUCUUGACGGUACCUAAUCAGAAAGCCACGGCUAACUACGUG
rnacentral:rRNA from 1 species